UAAAAUCCAUACCAAUAUUUCGGUAUAAUGAUAUUGAAAGAAUAACAUCACUAGAAAGAAAAUAACAUCCCUUACCUCAAAAUAUCAGUACUUAUGAACGGAAUAUCGGUAUAAGGCUGAAGGAAACUUGCACUGAUGAAUAGCAACUCACAAAGUAUCUAAUUACUCAAAAAAUACGUUCAAUAAUAUAGAGAGAGAAAGAGAGAAAACUUGUUUCUGGUGUGAUUUUCAAUUCUAACUAAGCACCCUAUUUAUAGAAAAAUUCUUAGAACGCCAUAGCAGACUAACAUGCUACAUGAUGGCUUUACCUGCUACUAUUCAAGCCCACCACUUUUAAAAAUAAAUUCUAUCACAUUUCAUUACUCACCAACCAAAAGUAGGGUCCACCGUAUUUUUAAUAAAAACAUUUUAUUUUCCG
rnacentral:lncRNA from 1 species